rnacentral:rRNA from 1 species
GAUGAACGCUGGCGGCGUGCCUAAUACAUGCAAGUCGAGCGAACAGACGAGGAGUUUGUUCCUUUGACGUUAGCCGCGCACGGGUGAGUAACACGUGGAUAACCUACCUAUAAGACUGGGAUAACCUCGGGACACCGGAUCUAAUACCGUAUAAUAUAUUUAUCCGCAUGGUUCAAUAGUGAAGGACGUUGUUGCUGUCUCUUAUAGAUGGUUCCGAGCUGCAUUAGCUGGUAGGUAAGGACACGGCAUACCAAGGCAACGAUGCGUAACCGACAUGACAGAGUGGUCCGCCACACUGGCACUGAGACACGGUGCAGACACCUAGGGGAGGAAGCAGUAGAGAAUCUUACGCAAUGGGGGAAAGCGUGACGGAGCAACGCGGAGUGAGUGAUGAAGGUCUUCGGAUCGUAAAACUAUGUUAUUAGGGAAGAACAAAUGUGUAAGUAACUGUGCACGUAUUGACGGUACCUAAACAGAAAGCCACGGCUAACUACGUG